GUGCUCACUUCAGCAGCACAUAUACUAAAAUUGGAACGAUACAGAGAAGAUUAGCAAUGGCCCUGCACAAGGAUGACAGGCAAAUUCGUGAAGCAUUCCAUAUUUUU
rnacentral:snRNA from 1 species